rnacentral:lncRNA from 1 species
AGGGCUGCUCCAGCGGCAUAUGGAGGGUCCCAGACUAGGGGUCUAAUCAGAGCUAUAGCCACCGGCCCACACCACAGCCACAGCAACUCGGGAUCCGGGCCGCGUCUUCGACCUACACCACAGCACAGCAAUGCUGGAUCCUUAACCCACUGACCAAGGCCAGGGAUUGAACCCACAACCUCAUAGUUCCUAGUUGGAUUCGUUAACCACUGAGCCACGAUGGGAACUCCCUGAAGUGACAUGUUGAAGAAUUCUAAUAAUAUGUAUCAUCACACACCUUCCCCCCACACACACUCUUCCUUACAGUUAAAGAUAAAUUUCAUUUUUUUUCCUACCAAGUACCCUCUAUCAAAAAUUGAUCAUGAUGAUCCCCAAAAGAUCAAUCAUCCUUUAUUUAAAGGAAAUAAAUCUUAGAAAUACUAACACCUUCAGAGUGAUUUUCAAAUACAAGAGUAAAUAUAUUGAUUAGUACAAGGAGAAAAUGAAAGCACUUAUAAAGUGCUCUGAGGACUUCAACCUACUCACAAGAUUUAUACUUUAAUUAAAUCUAUUACCAAAGCAAUACAAGAAAAGAAGAGAUUGGCUCCAAUGUCAGAGUUAAUAAAGUUAGCAUUCCAUGAAUCAGGAGAGAGAAGAAAGGGGCUUUGAAUAGGAAAAAAAAAAAAAAAAAAAAGGAGAAGCUAGAGUGAGGUUGGAAGAAUAUUAAGUUGAGCUGAAGGCCCAGUCCCACUGACAAAUAUCUGAAUCACCGUCAAAGUUUUUAUUUUAUUAUUUAUUUAUUUAUGUAUGUAUGUAUGUAUGUCUGACUUUUUGCCAUUUCUUGGGCCACUCCUGCGGCAUACGGAGGUUCCCAGGCUAGGGGUCAAAUCGGAGCUGUAGCCGCUGGCCUACUCCAGAGCCACAGUAACGCAGGAUCCGAGCUGCAUCUGGAACCUACACCACAGCUCACUGCAAUGCCGAAUCCUUAACCCACUGAGCAAGGCCAGGGAUCAAACCCACAACCUCAUGGUUCCUAGUAGGAUUCAUUAACCACUGAGCCACGAUGGGAACUCCCAUUGGGUAUCUUUUUAAAAAUUAAGGAUAAGCUAUCUUUUACCAAGACAUUAUUUCCAUCUGUUGGGAAAUUUUUCAUAUUUUUGUUAUGUUGGAACCAGGUUCCGAAUACCAUUGUCUUCCUUAAAAUCAUUGUAAUAAGCAUGUGAAUCAAAAACAUCCAUGACACAUAUGUCCUGUUAGAUGUGACGAUGCAGUGCACUGUGCAGCCAUAUAUAGCCAUCCAGAUUCCCACGUUCAGAGCAUAUAUGCCCUCCAGUGUCCUUUCACUGUUAAGAAAGAGCCUGAACAUUCUGUCUACACAUGACUUUUCAGGAAACCAAGUCUUAGUUUUGCCAGCAUUUCCAUUUACCUGACCAAGCCUACUAACAACGUUAACAAUCUGUUUUACUUACAUGUUAGAUAGUCCAUUGCUGGAGAAUCACAAAAUUUUAAAACUGGCUUUCUGAGUUUUAAUUGUACACUGCAAGUAUUAAAUUCCUCUUCCUUACAGAUUCAGAAACCCAUCAACAAAUGUGUGCACUUGUGUAUAUGUGUACAUACAUAUACAGUUAUGAAUGUUUUCCUUCCAUAUUUCUUUGAAAUAAUGUUUUGGCAUCAACAUAUCUUAAUAUAUCAAUACCUUUUUGGUUUGAGUAUCUUUUCCUGUUACUGAAUGUCUUUGUUGGAUAUAUUAGUUCUUGGAAACACUGACUGUGACCUAGUGUCUAAAAGGUUAAGACAAUGACUGCCUACUAGAUCUAGAGCCCAUUAAAGCAAAACAUCAGCUGGGCACUUGAAACAUUGCUCUGGAGAGCAAUAUUGAUUAUCUACUGCAGUUCUGGGUCCAAUAGCACAACUCCUGCCUACCAAUGAAAGGAAUGGUGUUUUAUUAAAAUGAGGACUAGUAUGUUUUAGAAAAGUAUCCUUAUACUAUACACUGGUGUAUUUACUAAAUUCUCCUUUACUCUGAUCCAAAGAGAUGAGAAGUAUUGUUUAUAACAGUUUAUUGCACACACUGGGGAGAGCUUAUGCUAGAGGCAAUUAUCAUCCAUCACUUUUAGAAGAUGUAAUAUAUUACUGUGAAACCUAUUUUUAAAAAUUAUUCUUAUAUCCAUAGAAUAACAUUCUUUUACUGCUAAUUGUAUAAUACACUUUUGAACUGGAUAGAGCAUUAUGCUCUCUCUAAUCUACAAUAAUUUCCUACUUAUUCUCCCCUCAAAUGAUUUUUUAAAAUUGCCUUCUUAUGUUGUGCUAUGUUUUUUUUUUUUAAUUUCCUAGUGUCAAUGAGUAUAUCUGUAUUGCUAAGGUCUCUGUCCUUUGAUUACAAAUUAUCUGAGAACUGGAAGAUCUAUGUAACUGAAAUCAAGCUAGAUAGCAGGCGUUUACUCAGGGGAUUUAUUGUGCUGCUCACUGCACCAUACGCUGUACAAAGUUUGUCUCAUUUGAGCCAAGCAAUAUUGUAGCCUGAGUACAGUAAUUACUGAUAGAAUAGAAGAUAAAAUAUAGAAUUUAAGAUUUGCAUUUUUUUCCUUUUGUCUUUUAGGGCUGCACCCAUGGCAUAAGAAAGUACCCAGGCUAGGGGUCAAAUCAGGGCUGUAGCUGCCAGCCUUCACCACAGCCACAGCCACAGCAACAUGGAAUCCAAGCCAUGCCUGUGACCUACACCACAGCUCACAGCAACACUGGAUCCUUUAGCCCAGUGGGCGAAGCCAGAGAUCAAACCAGUGUCUCCAUGAAUACUAGUUGGGUUAGUUACUGCUGCGACACAAUUGGAAUGCCUAAGUUGUGCACUUUUUAAAAGAUAAGGAGAAUAUCACAAACUAUAGAAUUUGAACCCAAGAACCCUAACUCCAGUCCUGCAGUCUUAAGUACACUACUAUCCCAUGCUAGUCUACUUCUUCAAGGAAGCUUUUGUGCAUGGUCUUCUGAGGGAAAGUCAUAUGGCAAUUCCAAAUGAUAUGGAAAAUAAUGAAUGAAUGCUUCCUGCUUGUCCCCUAUGAUUUGCUCCACUUGUCUUCAGGCCUCUCUUUUAUCUAUCCAGUACUUCUCAUCAGGCUA